AAUCGCUGAACGGGGGGCGGUUUGAUUCCUUUCCAUUGGUUCCAACGUUGUCCGGCAGCUUCUCCGUGCUGUCAUCGGCGCCGACGUCGUGCGUGAGAUCGCUGCCUUUACUGACUAAGAGGACGCUUAAACGAUGGCCGUCCAGUGGACGCGUGCAAACGUCUCGUUGAACUACUCGGGAAGAUGUAGCUGAUGUAACGCACGCAAGUCUGUCAACUGGGCAUUUUAUUUUUCAAUUCAUUUGGUUUUUCGGUAAUGUUGGCACAUGAUGUGGAAUGGAAAACCAAGAAUUUGACGUUCGGAUAAAGAAUUGAAUUGAGUGAAAUGAAAGGGCUGCCACUUCACACGGAUUUAGCUGAAUUGAGAUUAAGAAAAAGACGCAAGAUGAAAAGCACAAUUAAUAAGGUGUGUGCACUUUUCCCCAAAAUGUCUUUAUCGUUUUGUCUAAACACCAUUUGAAACAAUACAAAAUUCGAAGUUUUUCUUUAUUGAA